rnacentral:lncRNA from 1 species
GGGCAUUCUUGUUUAAUGUGCUGAGCUGGGUGACUUCCAUUCAGGCAUGGAGCAGCAGAAUCUACUGAGUCUUGAAAUCUGGGUGACCUUAUAUCAGAGUGUGUCAGGUUCAGCUGACCAACGUGAAGUAAUCUCUCACAGGACAGUGGGUGGUCUCGCAUAAGUGGGUUUCCUGUGUGGAUGAACAGUCCUUGUCUGCAGACUGGUACAGAGCUACUCGUCAUCUCCAUGUCCAUCAUAUUCUUCUUCUCAGAGAUCAAGUUACAAUGACUGUAG